rnacentral:tRNA from 1 species
CAAGAAGUAGUUUAUUUAAAAUAUCAGCUUUAGGUGCUGAUGGUGGGGGUUAAUCCUUGCUUCUUGG